GGCUUGUUGGUCUAUGAAAAGAGCUACUUCAGAGCUACCAGAACUGAAUUCUUCAAGAUUUUGGUGUGACCUGCGUGGCCAACACUGUUACAUAUCAGGUUAUCCAAACCCACAAGCAAAUCAAAUUUGCUAAAGUCUUACAGAGCACCAGAAUUGAACAUUUCUUGCA